rnacentral:rRNA from 1 species
ACACGUGAUUCAGAGUUUGAUCCUGGCUCAGGACGAACGCUGGCGGCGUGCUUAACACAUGCAAGUCGAACGGAAAGGCCCCCAGCUUGCUGGGGGUACUCGAGUGGCGAACGGGUGAGUAACACGUGGGUGAUCUGCCCUGCACUUCGGGAUAAGCCUGGGAAACUGGGUCUAAUACCGGAUAGGAGCCAUCUUUGGUGUGAUGGUUGGAAAGUUUUUUCGGUGUAGGAUGAGCCUGCGGCCUAUCAGCUUGUUGGUGGGGUAAUGGCCUACCAAGGCGUCGACGGGUAGCCGGCCUGAGAGGGUGUACGGCCACAUUGGGACUGAGAUACGGCCCAG